GGCUAUGGCCCACCCCUGCUGACACAUCUCCUUCUCCAACAGUGUCAGCUCUGCCACAGCUUCUAGGACCUGAUGACACACUGCAACUUCAUGCUGAUACUGUCACCUUCUCUGCCAGUCCAGCCUGUCCUCUCCUCUGGCUUCAUCUGACAGGGCUCCCACUCACCCCCAGGCUCAUGUCCUGUCGCUCUAUCACUCAUGCAACCUCACUAGCAUGGAUUGGAACCAUCGAUGGAUUUCCUGACUGGCUGGCCUUUGAAAUGUUGCCCAUUCUAGGGCUUCUUUUGUAAACAUGUUGAGUUUGGUUAUCAAUAGGACACGAGAUGGAAGUGUCCAGAAAGUUGAAAUGUGGGUCUGGAAGUGAAGAGGAAACUAGGGCUGAGAGGGAGAAGUCAUUUCCCAUAAAACAUAGAAGUCAACAUUAUUGGUCUGGAUAUAAUUGAUAAGGGAGAAAAAUAUCAGAAAGAGAGAUGGAAAAAUGAGGAUAACAAAGUUUGCAAAUGAGUGGUCCACAGGCUGCAUCUGCCCUGCAGAAGUGUUUCAUUUGGCUUACAAGAUGAAUUGGUUGCAAAUGUUGAAAAACUGAAAAGAUUUCACACACGACUCUGGAUUUCUAGCUUCUUCUGAAAAGUGAGUAGAUCUAGCCACAUGAGGUGGGCAUUGUACACGGCUGGCUGCAGAUGGCUGCGGUGGAGGGCUGGCUGCCUCCUUCAGAGGGGGCCUUGUUCUGCUCUCUUCCACCUGCUGAUUCACUGACUCACAUCCCAGUUCAGCCCUUGUUAAGCGACUGAGUUUGCAACCCAUGCUUUUAUUAGUAUCAGUGUAGUAGAGGGUAAGAAAAUGAGAGUCAAUGUGACAAUACUAGGGAGACCAUUACUGGACCAAAUACGGCCAUUCCUCAUGCCAGGGGCUUGCUCUGAGCCUGCACUGAAUUGUGCUGGCUCAAUUCAGCAAGGACCUUUUCCUUUUUCACAAAGUACAGUCAAGCUGGUUCCUCCCCCACCUCUUCUCGGUUCCCCUGGAACGCCAUCCCCACAGCUCUGCCAGCCCUACCUCAUGAACUUCUCCAUGACCUCCUCCACCCACAUCUGCAGCCUCAGGAAGCUGAUGCCAUAGUGCCACCAGAGGCGGAAGAGGUUCAGCAGGUACCAGUCAGUCUCCUCCAGCACGAAGUGCUCCCCGCCGAAGAUGGCGCUCCUGCCCACCACCUCGCGCCGGUGCCUCAGCCCUGCAGAGACAAAGAGGAGCCCCUCAGGUCCCCUCCAAGACUUGGGGCCCUCUUGAUGCAAAUGGACUGGUCCAUUAAAGGAAACACAAAUGCUA